rnacentral:sRNA from 1 species
ACUCAACACUAUACAAUUCAAAAGGGUGAGUCUAAACUAGUAAAGCGUGCCGUCUUUGAGCGGAUACUUGAUCAGUUUGUUAACCCUAAACUUGUUUCUUGGAGUUU